rnacentral:rRNA from 1 species
UACGUAGGGUGCGAGCGUUGUCCGGAAUUAUUGGGCGUAAAGAGCUCGUAGGCGGUCUGUCGCGUCGAUCCGUGAAAACUUGGGGCUUAACCCUGAGCUUGCGGUCGAUACGGGCAUGACUGGAGUUCGGCAGGGGAGACUGGAAUUCCUGGUGUAGCGGUGAAAUGCGCAGAUAUCAGGAGGAACACCGGUGGCGAAGGCGGGUCUCUGGGCCGAUACUGACGCUGAUGCGGCGACAGCAUGGGGAGCAAACAGG